UUCUGCAGACCGAGCGAACCAUUUCGCCGGUCCAAACCUGACGGAGAAGCAGUCUAGUAGUCUUUUCCCCUCUUCUGAUACUAAGGCAUUGCGUUAGUGAUAGUUUGCCUUACUAGUAGAAACUUGAGGUGGCGUCUGGUUGGUGCUGGUAGACUACUAGAUGGCCUAAACCCGCGAUAGCUCCGCAGAUAGGUGCAGCUGUUACUCUGAAUCAGUUACACCCAUUUGAAGGUUGGGAUUGUUCAGUGACAAGUCUGUGAUCACUUGCUCUUGCUAAGCACUACUACGGAGGUAAUAAUAGGUAUACAAGCAAUAAACUAGCUCAAUGAUGAGCACAUAUAAGCAAGAAAAUGUACUUCGUGCACUCACUCAGAAUUUCCCCCAAAGAUGUAUGCUGCGCUGGAUACAGUCAUAUUUAUGGAUGGUCCGGAGGUGGUUUAUCUUUUGCAUUGCUACUGUAGGACCGCUUGGUGUAGGUUGGUAUUCAUCAGUUGUGGGGUUGAUUAUGUUUUUUCUAGAUGCAGCUCACAUCUCAUGCUUAUAAUAGAUGUUGGUGACUAUUUAGGUUUCUUAGGGUACAAAUGCAUGACAAAUUGGAUAUUUAUUCUACUGAUGUUGCUGUGAACACUUCUCGUAAGUAGAUCAAGUUGAUACCUUCAGUCAAUGAUAAGCAGUGUAUGAUGGGGUCAUGACUGUAGUAUUGAUUCAGUAGGGUCCACUCCUAGGAUUGAUUGUCUAUGAAUGAAAUCACAAGCCAUAGGAACUGCAGAUCAUAGAUGUUUAAUAUUCUUAAAUGUUCCAUGUUGCUCUAAGGUUUCUACAGUGUGUCGCUUUAGUCUAACAUACCUAAAGAACGAUGAUCAAGUUCACAUUUUCUUUUGCAGCCUUGUUUGGCUAAAGAAGAUUUAACUGAAGGACAAAAGGUGGACAUUUCCGUCAAAGCUGAAAAAGAAGAAGCAGUUGGGAACAAUGUUGCAGGGAUUGACAGUGAAGGAGAUGGAAUAGCUAGGCAAUCACAUGAAAAUGCAUCUUGAUCUGGACAGGGGAAGCCAAGUGAAUUUCAAUUACUGGGAGAACCAAUUUGAUCUGGAAACCAUCAAGCACUCAUGGUAGUGUGUGACUGGGAGCUAGAUGAGGCUCGGAAAAGAGAUGCCUUGGACUGAGCUAGGGUGCAUGGUGAGGAACCACCCCGUGAGGUGGAAGAGAGAGGCUUACAUGCAAGUAUUUAGUGGGAUGUAAAGGAUCACUUGGAGAGUAAGACCUCCACAGAGCUUGAAGAGAUGCGAAGUCAAAUUGACUCCCAGAUACGCUCUGAUACUGCAAAAGUUGUUGAAUACUGGGAGGCCAAAUGCCUUCAUGUUUACAAAGAAAAGAGAUUGAGAGUGGAGGAGAUGGAACAGCUAUGCAGUGACAUGAAAGUGCAUCUCGAUGUGGGCAGAGAAGGCCAAGCGAAUGUCAAGUACUGGGAGGGAUUAACAGUAAGGAGAUAGAAGAGCUACAUGAUGACAUUGUGAUGCAUCUUGGUCUGGACAGGGAAUGUCAAGUGAAUGUCAAGUUCUGGGAGCCUGAGCUAAUGCAUGGCGAUGAAGAUGCAACCGAUCCUGACGAGGACAAGACGGAACUGGUACAGUCUUUUUCUGCAGCUUUGUGCUUGUUUACAGUAAUAAAUAUAGUGAUGGUUAUUUAUGCAGUCAAAACCUUCCUGUUAUUAAAUACGGUUCAAUAGCAAUUGGGUACACCAAUUUCUGCCAAAAGAAAGUUAGUUAACAGCCUAUGUUAGAAAUACUUGUAAUAGGGGAACAUUCUUAGUAAGAUCGUAGAAUAACAUUUGAAGCAGUUGGCUUUCAUGCAUGUUUACCCUGAAAGUGGCUUAGUUUCACUUAACUUUUGAUUGUAAUACUAAUGCCCCAUAGGACGAAGGACAUUUCCCCUUGUCUGAAGUUUUUUUUACCAACCAACAAGAGCUCUGCCUCUUUUGGGGUCUUUAUGCAACAUUUACUUUUCUUGGAGGGUCGAAGAGGUGCUUUUUUCUUAGUUCAAUGUUGCGUGAAUAGGGCACAUUUAUGUGUUCUUCACAAAGUUGAGAUGAGUUUGACUGGCCAGUCACACGUGCUCAUGUGGCUCGAAAGAAAGGCAAGAAAACCAGAUGCCACGGAGUUUAAAGCGAUGUGAGCAAUGGAGGAAGGGGAUGUCGUAUUUGGUUCAGGUGCUGUGCUGAAGUGAACCUUUGUUUCAGGUUUGUUUCAUCUUUUUUAUUAUCAGAGGAUGAGGAUUGUAGAAUUGGUACCACAUCAUCUUGAUUUCGGAACAUAUCAGUAUAUGUGUAGCCACAUUAUGUAACAUUAUGUUGCUAUAUUUGUUAGGAAUUUCCAUGGUUAUAUGCUUACAUGCUAUACCAAGGUGGUUCACUGCCACUGAAUCUCCAUUCACUCUCAGGCUUUCAGCUGGAUUCUCAUGACAACCUGUGCAAUGUGCUCACAGGUAUAACUGGUGGCAUGAAAAGUACCGACCAAGCAAAACCAAAGUACCUCGUUCCAAGUGCACAUUUGAGCGCGGGAUUCUUCAUCUGUAUUCCACAGCAGUUGGUUCGUUUGUAACCAGGCCUUGUACCGAAAUGUUAACGUGACAAACGAUAUUGAUAGCUUGUAACAGUUUGUUGUUGUACCUUGACCUGAAAUCCUGAAGAGUUUUGCGCUGGAGUGCAUACUGAAAGUAGCUCUACAUGGAGUAUGUUGCGUCA